rnacentral:rRNA from 1 species
GAUGAACGCUGGCGGCAUGCCUAAUACAUGCAAGUCGAGCGAAUGGAUUAAGAGCUUGCUCUUAUGAAGUUAGCGGCGGACGGGUGAGUAACACGUGGGUAACCUGCCCAUAAGACUGGGAUAACUCCGGGAAACCGGGGCUAAUACCGGAUAACAUUUUGAACCGCAUGGUUCGAAAUUGAGAGGCGGCUUCGGCUGUCACUUAUGGAUGGACCCGCGUCGCAUUAGCUAGUUGGUGAGGUAACGGCUCACCAAGGGAACGAUGAGUAGCCGACCUGAGAGGGUGAUCGGCCACACUGGGACUGAGACACGGCCCAGACUCCUACGGGAGGCAGCAGUAGGGAAUCUUCCGCAAUGGACGAAAGUCUGACGGAGCAACGCCGCGUGAGUGAUGAAGGCUUUCGGGUCGUAAAACUCUGUUGUUAGGGAAGAACAAGUGCUAGUUGAAUAAGCUGGCACCUUGACGGUACCUAACCAGAAAGCCACGGCUAACUACGUGCCAGCCGCCGCCGUAA